GUCAAUCAUAUCUUUUCUUAGACCAGGAGUGAACUGUAGACUUGAAGACAGGAAGCUCAUUUUAUCACUACACUGUUUUAUUCUUAUUCUUGCCAGUAUGCUUAGAAUUAUAUGGUAAUAUUGUGCUUAUAAAUUACUGUUAUGAUGCAGUGGUUCUUCUCAUGUUUCCCUUUACUGACAACAGAGCAUACUGCAUAAUGACCACAGAGAUAUAAAACACUGUCCUCUAAACUGACAUUCUGAAUUUUGAGGACAACAAACUUCAAGCAUUUAUACUACACUUAAAGUACAAGUAUAAGCAAACAAGGUAUUCUUCCUUUGGUGUGGUAUCACGACUAGGAAACAAUGGGUUGCAAUUCAACCUAUAAAGCAGGAAAGUGACUUAGCAUAUUUUCCACCAGGAUGUUGCAAUGGGUGUCCUCAUGUUAGUGUCACUGUAUAAAAGUCAACAGUAUAAAAAGGCAAGAAGUAGAAAUAGUUUUACUUAAUACAUCUACUUCAUUUCAUAAAACAUUGCCACCAAUACCUGGAAGCGUAUAUUCCUUAUUAUAUCAGCUGAUAAGUUAGAGACAGAAGGUUCAAGAAGAGAGCAACAGUGUCUUUCCUGAGGUGCUAUAGAAGGUCAAGAACAUAACUUAAGUAUAAGUACUGAAGGUACUGAAAAAAGCAGCUGUCAGCCAAGUUCCUCGAAUACCAAGAUCAUUGAUUGAAUGAUAUUGAGUGCCAGAUGGGCGAAAGGAAUACUUCAGAACAAUGUCUGCAUUGAUGACUGUAUAGAUACUAAGCAAAGAACAUUUAGAGUGGUCAUACCCAUAACAUGAUACAAGAAAAGAAUACAUGAGUGAUGGGAACUGGUGUUACUUGGUGGACUGGAAACCAGAGGGAGAACAGCGUCCCUGACACUGGCAGAGUGUCACAGCUUCUUAUUGGGAUGAUCAGAAGAGGAAACUUGCUGCAAGGUCAUAUGGACUACAAACAGCUGUCACUGGAACACUUGGAGAAUAGACCAGAAGUUAAAUUGUAGACAUAAUGAUAAAGGGUCAAUCAACAAUAUCAAAUGACUAAAUUGUAGACUAGUAGCAUAGAAGCAGUGGUAUUUAGAAUCUAAAACAUACAUGGGUUGUAUGUAGUUUUCCAAUGUACCUUGUGUGGAAGUAAAAGACUUCAAGUUCAAGCA